rnacentral:rRNA from 1 species
AAUGAACGCUGGCGGCAGGCUUAACACAUGCAAGUCGAACGGCAAGGCCGUGCUAUUGUGGUGUGCUCGAGGGCCGAACGGGUGCGUAACACGAAAGUAACCUGCCCUAGAUUUUGGGAUACCUUCACGAAACUCGGACUAAUACAGUACAGCAGCCCCCCCUCCAUUGUAGGGGGGGGAAAUUUUCGGCGGUUGGGGAUGGACUCGCGGCUUAACAGCUUGUUGGUGGGGUAGUGGCUUACCAAGGCAUUGACGGGUAGCCGGCCUGUGAAGGUGACCGGCCACCUGAGGACUGAGGUGCGGCCCAGCCUGGUACGGGGGGCAGCGGUGGGAAAUAUUGCACAAUGGGCGGCAGCCUGAUGAAACGACGCCGCGUGCGGGAUGACGGCUUUCGGGUUGUAAACCGCUUUCGCCUGUGACGAAGCGUGAGUGACGGUAAUGGGUAAAGAAGCACCGGCUAACUUCGUG